rnacentral:lncRNA from 1 species
AAAAUAUAUGUACAGGGCCUACAAGCCCAAUAUACUGCACUAACUGACAGGAUAUAUCUACAAGGCUCUACUGAUAGAUGUACUGCGAUCCGAACAUGACCCCGACCUACCCAUAACCUAUCUACAUAUAUAAACAAGAUGUACACCAAAAUGCUAGACCCGGCAACUCCGAAAGAAGGGGAGCUUACGGGCAACACCUGCUAGGGAGGUCUACCCGUCUGUCUGUCUGAACCUGCACGCAUGAAAUGCAACGCCCCCAAAAAGGGACAUUAAUACGAAAUAAUAUACCAAGUAUGUAAGGUAAUAUGCAGAAAGUUGAAACUGAAUUGAUAAUAUAAUAACUGAAAACAACUGGAGGUCAAAAAUAACCUGAAGAUAUGCUCACCUGCUGAUACUGACUCUAUUCUCUCACUAUAGUAAGUAAAAUAGUUGUCUGGCCUUAUAAGGCUUGGCAUAUAUAUAUAUUAUUGUUCUACCGUAGUAAGCUCGCACAUAGGCGCUCGGCCAUACUAGGCUCUGUAUCUCGACCAACUGGGCUAGCUCAUAGGCGCUCGGCCACAGUAAGCUCGGUAUAUAUCUUACCAUCUGAUAAGAGGUUUCCCAAUAGGGUCCUUCCCAUCGAUUAUAGCUCGAUGGUAAUAAAAAAAUGUAAUACUGUAUAUAUAAACUCUCUUCUCUCUUGACUGGAAGAAGGAAAUACUCAAUUUAUAAAAUACUCGUCGUUUGGUUAAAAGAAGAAUGGCUGGUACCAUAACAAUGGUAAAAAGAUCAGUAGGCGUAAUAAAAUUAGGGGCAAUAAGGUAAGUAUUUCAACAUCUCCAAUAUUCAACAACUAAUCAAUAACACUCUGAAAAGAGUUUUACUUCAGUAUUCAUCAAAAAUUCAAAACCAAAAAGUGAUUUGCUUAUCUAAUUAUUUGCUUAAGGUACAAACUUUCUUUGCCUCCUGAGUAAAAUUUUCAAUUCCUUUUUCUUUUCACCUAAUUGCCAACCUUUGUAACGAUGCUUAAAGUGAGAAGGUGGUGACUAAUUAUUUUUCUUUUCUCUCAUGCCAAAAGAAGAAAAGAAGAAAUAUUCAACAAGGCAAUCCUUUUUAUACCACGUAUAUAAUAGUCUUGCAAUUCAAAAAGCUGCCUUCAUGCUUUUGUUCCAGUAGAGGUUCGUGCUUGUAGAGGGUGAUUUCUAAAAAUACAUGGUAUUAACUUACAAAUCUAGGAAAAUAUACGUAACUUGCGAGACUAGCAAAAUAUACGUAAAUUCCGGGAUAUGAAUUUUUUUUCUUCGUGCCAUAUUGUCAAACUUCUGUAAUUACGAGAUCAUGCAAAAUGAAGGAAGAGCUUAGCCUUAACAUACCUGGAAUAAGGAAAAAUCCAUAUGAUGUUCUUGGAAAAGGUUACACCAUACUCCCUUAGAACCACGAAAUUUUACGUUGCUAAAUCUUGUUGGAAUCAUUGAAACGUGUAGGAAAUCAUGUUGCUUAAUGAAAUAUGUAGAUUCUAGUUUCAAAGUCUUCAGGAAUGAAAUUUGAAAGAGUUUAAGAAUGACUAACGUUUUU